rnacentral:rRNA from 1 species
UACAGAGGUCCCGAGCGUUGUUCGGAUUCACUGGGCGUAAAGGGUGCGUAGGUGGUGAGGUAAGUCGGAUGUGAAAGCUCGGAGCUCAACUCCGAAAUGGCAUUGGAAACUACCUUGCUCGAGGGUUGGAAGGGGGACUGGAAUGCUUGGUGUAGCAGUGAAAUGCGUAGAUAUCAAGCGGAACACCAGUGGCGAAGGCGAGUCCCUGGACAGUUCCUGACACUGAGGCACGAAGGCCAGGGGAGCAAACGGG